GACGAACGCUGGCGGCGUGCUUAACACAUGCAAGUCGAACGGUAAGGCCCUUCGGGGUACACGAGUGGCGAACGGGUGAGUAACACGUGGGUGAUCUGCCCUGCACUUCGGGAUAAGCCUGGGAAACUGGGUCUAAUACCGGAUAGGACUCCGGACUGCAUGGUCUGGGGUGGAAAGCUUUUGCGGUGUGGGAUGGGCCCGCGGCCUAUCAGCUUGUUGGUGGGGUGAUGGCCUACCAAGGGGACGACGGGUAGCCGGCCUGAGAGGGUGACCGGCCACACUGGGACUGAGAUACGGCCCAGACUCCUACGGGAGGCAGCAGUGGGGAAUAUUGCACAAUGGGCGCAAGCCUGAUGCAGCGACGCCGCGUGAGGGACGACGGCCUUCGGGUUGUAAACCUCUUUCAGCACAGACGAAGCGCAAGUGACGGUAUGUGCAGAAGAAGGACCGGCCAACUACGUGCCAGCAGCCGCGGUAA
rnacentral:rRNA from 1 species